rnacentral:lncRNA from 1 species
UUUUAUUUAAAGAGGGAGGUGGACAGAGAGAACAAGGUUACAGAAAACUAAAUUAAUUUCUUUGAAAAAAGAGUCCAUGUUAUUACAUUUGUUUUCUGUAGAUGGUAUUACUUUUGCAAGGGAGAUUUUCUAAUUUGACACAGAACAACUACACUGAAAAUACUGUAUAAGAAAUACUGGAGGAUGCUUCCCACUUAAGCAGAAGUUUGCUUGGUAAUCUAAAGGCAGAAUACCUAAACUAGGCAAAAGUAUUUGCAAAGCUGAGAGAUACUGUGCUGUUCCCAGUCUUCACACAACCUGGAAAUGGUGACCUGACUUUAAGCAGCCUUGAAAGUCUCCAACUUAAAAAAAAAAAAAAAAACAAGCAAAAUAAACUCAGCUGCCAACCCGGUGAGCCAGGAUUAGGCACCAGUGGAAGACAGGGAUUUCUGAUUGUAUCCUGUCUCGCCAAAGACUCACCACUGCCCCUGCACAAACCUACACUGCAUUAGGGUAAUGCCCAACAUCAGCACAUUACAAUCGUGCCUACAAAGAUGCACACAUGGUGAUCCUACACUGGGACAGCAUCCUGGCUGUGAAGUAUCCCUGUGUGUAGGUAGUAAAAGCCAGACCUUACAUUGUGUUGUGAAGGAUUGCACUGUAUCAGGAACACAUCCUACUUAUCACUUAUUAUUACCUAUAAACCCACCUGAUCACUAGUAGCUAAAGAAUAGUGACAUAAAAAGAAGAGCAGGGGAAAUAUCCCUCUUUCCUUGCAAUAAGUCUCUAGGAUUGUUUUGCCCUUUUAACUCACAGUUGCCUCACUUUGUCACCAGUUACACAGGCAAAGAAUGGAAACAUGCCCUUGCUGAGCAGACAAAGUGCAAUUGAUUAUGUGAAGUUAAACUGACUGAGAAGGGGAUGGACAUGAGGGUGCUUGUCCCUAUAAAAUCUGCUGAGAUUGUGUCAAUAUCCCUUGGGUGGGUGGUGAAGCCAAAUUGCAGAGAAACCCAGAAGCUGCAGAAGACCCAGUGGAACAUUCAAUGCUCUACAGUGGCAAAAGGCUGGCUCGACGCUGCUCAGCUGUGGUCCAGUUGACUUCACGGAGGUUUGGGUUUUGCUAAGUUAGGAAACAUCUUGCUGAUGUAGACUAUGUCUGGAGCAAGCAGCAGUGUGAGAAGCAGACGCAUUUGUAGUGUAUAACUGGAUACCUGUGGCUGUAAGGGAAGGAAAUCAUCCGAGUGUCAGCGCAGAAAACACUGCUGGUAUUUUAACACGUACAUUGUACUGAAUCCCCGUCCCGCUGUCCCUGUAAACACCAUUGUGCUUUUCAUCUACCAUAUUUGCAGCAGCAGCAGCAGGGAGAUUUCGCCUGAAAUGGGAUUGCUGACCCA